rnacentral:rRNA from 1 species
UUUAUUGAGAGUUUGAUCCUGGCUCAGGACGAACGCUGGCGGCGUGCUUAACACAUGCAAGUCGAGCGAUGAAGCUCCUUCGGGAGUGGAUUAGCGGCG